rnacentral:tRNA from 1 species
GCGGUUGUCGUCCAGUCUGGUCUAGGACGUUAGCCCUCCAAGCUAGCAACCCGGGUUCAAAUCCCGGCGACCGCA